GCCGAAGUGGUGGAACUUGGUAGACACGCCAUCUUGAGGGGGUGGUGCCCAACCGGGCGUGGGGGUUCAAAUCCCCCCUUCGGCA
rnacentral:tRNA from 1 species